rnacentral:rRNA from 1 species
UACGGAGGGUGCAAGCGUUAUCCGGAUUUACUGGGUUUAAAGGGUGCGUAGGUGGGCAAGUAAGUCAGUGGUGAAAUCUCCGGGCUUAACUCGGAAACUGCCAUUGAUACUAUUUGUCUUGAAUAUCCUGGAGGUAAGCGGAAUAUGUCAUGUAGCGGUGAAAUGCUUAGAUAUGACAUAGAACACCCAUUGCGAAGGCAGCUUACUACGGGAUUAUUGACACUGAUGCACGAAAGCGUGGGGAUCAAACAGG